rnacentral:rRNA from 1 species
UACGUAGGGGGCAAGCGUUGUCCGGAUUUAUUGGGCGUAAAGAGCGUGUAGGCGGCCAGGUAGGUCCGUUGUGAAAACUGGAGGCUUAACCUCCAGCUGUCGAUGGAAACCAUCUGGCUAGAGUCCGGAAGAGGAGAGUGGAAUUCCUGGUGUAGCGGUGAAAUGCGCAGAUAUCAGGAAGAACACCCGUGGCGAAGGCGGCUCUCUGGGACGGUACUGACGCUGAGACGCGAAAGCGUGGAGAGCGAACAGG